UACGGAGGGAGCUAGCGUUGUUCGGAAUUACUGGGCGUAAAGCGCGCGUAGGCGGCUUUGUAAGUUAGAGGUGAAAGCCCGGGGCUCAACCCCGGAACUGCCUUUAAAACUGCAUCGCUUGAAUCCGGGAGAGGUGAGUGGAAUUCCGGGUGUAGCGGUGGAAUGCGUAGAGAUCCGGAAGAACACCGGUGGCGAAGGCGGCCUGCUGGGCAGUAGCUGACGCUGAAGCGCGACAGCGUGGGGAGCAAACAGG
rnacentral:rRNA from 1 species